CCUACGGGAGGCAGCAGUGGGGGAUAUUGCACAAUGGGGGAAACCCUGAUGCAGCGACGCCGCGUGAGUGAAGAAGUAUUUCGGUAUGUAAAGCUCUAUCAGCAGGGAAGAAAAUGACAGUACCUGACCAAUAAGCGCCGGCUAACUACGUGCCAGCAGCCGCGGUAAUACGUAGGGGGAAAGGGUUAUCCGGAUUUACUGGGUGAAAAGGUAGCGUAGACGGUGAUGUAAGUCUGGAGUGAAAGCCCGGGGCCAAACCCCGGGACUGCUGUGGAAACUGGGUAACUGGAGUACAGGAGGGGCAGGCGGAAUUCCUGGUGUAGCGGUGAAAUGCGUAGAGAUCAGGAGGAAUACCGGCGGCGAAGGCAGCCUGCUGGACUGAAACUGACGUUGAGGCGCGAAAGCGUGGGGAGCAAACAGGAUUAGAUACCCCGGUAGUC
rnacentral:rRNA from 1 species